UCUCCAUCCCGCCGUGGGGCAGGUCCAUGGGUCCUUCAUCCCGCUGUGGGGCAGGUCCAUGGGGUCCUUCAUCCCGCCCUAGACCCCGGCAAGGGGCUGCGCGAGCGCGAGGAGAAGAAGCUGCGGAGCCGCCGCUACCGGCUCUUCGCCCACCGGACGGGGACGGCGGAGCGGCGCCGCUGGGCCGGGGCCACCGAGGAGCUGGUGUCGGACGAGGAGGCCGGGGCCGGGGCGCCGGGGCUGUGGGUGGCGCGGCCCCCCCCGCCGCCAAGCCCAACUGCGUCUACGGGCCCCCCUCCCACCGGCCGCCCUCCGCCGAGGUCCGCCGCCUGCCCCCGCACCCCUACGGCCCCGCCUACGCCGCCCCGGGCCCCGGACCCUUCGGGGGCGUCAAGGUGGAGAAGGACGAGCGAGCGGGGCCGGUUGUUUCCCCCCCCCCCUCCCCGAACACGAGCCCUCGUUUGUACAA